rnacentral:rRNA from 1 species
GACGAACGCUGGCGGCGUGCUUAACACAUGCAAGUCGAGCGGAAAGGCCCUUCGGGGUACUCGAGCGGCGAACGGGUGAGUAACACGUGCGUAACCUGCCCCAGACUUUGGGAUAACCCUCGGAAACGGGGGCUAAUACCGGAUACGACACAGCUUCGCAUGGGGUCUGUGUGGAAAGUUUUGCGGUUUGGGAUGGGCUCGCGGCCCAUCAGCUUGUUGGUGGGGUGAUGGCCUACCAAGGCGACGACGGGUAGCCGGCCUGAGAGGGCGACCGGCCACACUGGGACUGAGACACGGCCCAGACUCCUACGGGAGGCAGCAGUGGGGAAUAUUGCACAAUGGGCGGAAGCCUGAUGCAGCGACGCCGCGUGAGGGAUGACGGCCUUCGGGUUGUAAACCUCUUUCAGCAGGGACGAAGCGUAAGUGACGGUACCUGCAGAAGAAGCGCCGGCCAACUACGUG